rfam:Candidimonas nitroreducens strain SC-089 Scaffold11_1, whole genome shotgun sequence.
GCGAACGUGGCGGAAUUGGUAGACGCACCAGAUUUAGGUUCUGGCGCCGAGAGGUGUGAGAGUUCGAGUCUCUCCGUUCGCA